rnacentral:rRNA from 1 species
CCUACGGGUGGCAGCAGUGGGGAAUAUUGGGCAAUGGGCGCAAGCCUGACCCAGCAACGCCGCGUGAAGGAAGAAGGCUUUCGGGUUGUAAACUUCUUUUAUUGAGGACGAAACAAAUGACGGUACUCAAUGAAUAAGCCACGGCUAACUACGUGCCAGCAGCCGCGGUAAUACGUAGGUGGCAAGCGUUAUCCGGAUUUACUGGGUGUAAAGGGCGUGUAGGCGGGACUGCAAGUCAGAUGUGAAAACUAUGGGCUCAAACGAUAGAGUGCAUUUGAAACUGCAGUUCUUGAGUGAUGGAGAGGCAGGCGGAAUUCCCGGUGUAGCGGUGGAAUGCGUAGAUAUCGGGAGGAACACCAGUGGCGAAGGCGGCCUGCUGGACAUUAACUGACGCUGAGGCGCGAAAGCGUGGGGAGCAAACAGGAUUAGAUACCCGGGUAGUC